rnacentral:lncRNA from 1 species
AGUCAGCUAUUUACACCGUUCAUCCUAAGAAAAGAAUGUCUCUCAGACUAUAUUCUGGAACUUGACAUGCAAUAGCACUCGGGAUUUAUGGAACUUUUGAUCCCACAGAGGACAAGAGCAUCAAUUUCUCAGGCAACGCCAUCAUUUUGCAGGACCAGACACCCUGACAAAUUUGUUCAUCCUGAAGCUUUUUGUAUUCCUCCUCUUUGUGACAGCAGUACUCUUCAACUUGGCUAACUUUUCCCUUCUCCCCUCAAUGUCAGCUUGAAUAACUUUUUCCCUCUUC